GUAUUGUAAUGGUUAUCUCCAACAACCAAGAGUUUUUUGUUAACCCAUUUUUAACAUAACCUUUAAUGUCAUAACUGGUUGAGCAUAGAACUAUAAAACCAAAAAGACUCCAUCAUCCCCUUCCCUUUUCCCUAACUUCUCUCUACACUUCGGUAGCUGUAAUGAGAACGCAUAUCGACGAGAAAUUAAAAGCGUUGAAGAAGAGGUAUGAGGAUAUAAUAAUUGAAACAAGAAAGGAGGCUUCAACGAGGAUUAUGAUGUGGGAACAAAAAGCUCUUUGGUAUCAGCGCGAGCUUCAACUUGCAAAACAAGAGGCCCUUCACAUGCAGCAGCUCAGGCUCCAACAGAUUAGUGAAGCAGAAUUGUCAUCCUUGAGUCAACAGAGGAAGAUUGAAGAACUCGAAGCUCAACUUCAGGAAGCAGAAGAUAUUGUAUAUGAUAUCAGAGUAGAGUUGAGAAAAGUUCAAGCUGAACUUGAGAGAGUGAGCUGCAACAAAGAGAAGGAUGUACACAACUUGCAGGAUCACGAUACUGCUACUCCUGGAGAACUACCAGAGGAGAAUAUAGUCUCAUUGCCUCCCGAAUCACAGUAUGGUUAUGUGACAACUUCUAACUUGAAGGUAGCCAAUAUGAACCAGAAUAUUGAGGGCUACCAGUCUUGCCAUGCAAAGGUUAACAUUAGAAGUCCUUACAUUGCUGGUGGGGAUUUGUCCUCUUUAGGUUUGAGAAGCAAAGCACCAGAAUUAUACCAAAAUGGAUGUACGCAGAGACUUCCUGCUUCCGAAGGAAACCUAUUAGAUAGGGAAAUCCGUCAUGAAAAUAUGUCUCCCAAGCAUAUUCCAAAUAUCCCAACCGAUUGUUGCUUGAGAUCUCAUUUAACUACAGCCAGAGACAAUGUUCCUAGUGAAGAUCCUUCUGAGACGGCCCAAAUAUUAUCCACAGGAAAAGCUGAACCAGGCAUGCCGAUCGGAUUCACAGAAACUUCAGAUGAUAAACCAGGGUCAGUUGAGGCAACUGGUGUUCAUAAUGCAAUAGAUGAGCAUGCAGGAUUAAUGGGGAAGAUGGAUAUUUCAGAACAAGAUAAUAGAUCUGGGGAGGGCUUAGAGGUUCCUGCUUACAAAAUAGAUAUUGAUAGUGUUUGCAAUCAGUUGUUCUAUCUGAAAAAACUUUGCAAUCAGUUGUUAAACUCAAAAUCUACGGUAUCUAAUCUAAACAAUGAGAAUCCUAGUCAGCCUCUAAAUGAUAGAGUGAUUAAAUACACAUUCCAAAGAAAGAGGAAGAGGGAUUUGUGUAGGGUAUCUGCUGAAAAUGCUUCAAUUGAGAAGAACUCGUUGAAGAAAACAAAUGAGGGGAAACUAAAUAAUCUUCUGGAACCUCAGAAGUUGACAGUGACAGAAUCAUCAGAAGACAGUGGGAAAAUUGCAGAGGUUGCUCAGCAGGAUGGCUUAAAUUUGGCAUUGCAAGGAAAGGAGAAGAAGCCGGAUAAAAUGACGGACGAGGAAUUUGCUGUCACAGAGAAAAAGGCAAAAUUAGGUAUCAUCUUAAAUCUCUCAAAUGAGGUUGUACGUGAAGUUUCUAUAGAAACAACAUCCAAGUGGGAAAAAUUAAAAACCUUAUAUAUGAAGAGGACUGUGGAAAAUAGACUUUACCUAAAGCAGAAGCUUUAUACAAUUCGUAUGGGUGAAGGUACCUCUAUUCUCUCUCAUCUUGAUACUUGUGAUUCCAUUUUUAUGGAUUUGUGUAAUAUAGACGCAGAAAUUACAGAUGAGCAUCAAGCCGUGAUAUUGUUUUGUUCUCUACCCCCAUUUUUUAAGCAUAUAAGAGAUACUAUGCUUUAUGCUAAGGAUAAUAUCUCUUAUAAGGAUAUUAAAUCUAUCUUAAAAUCAAAAGAACAAAUAGAUAGUGAUAUUACUGGGGAAGCUAAUAGAACUCAAGCGGAAGUUGGCUUGUUUAUUAGGGGUAAAUCUGACUCAACAUCCAAAUACAAUAAUUUAGAGUGUCGUAAUUGUUAUAAGAAAGGUCACAUUAUCUCCGAAUGUUAUAAGUUGAAAAAUAAAGAAAAGCAUAAAGAAAGGAAAAAUGAGUACAAAGAUACUUACACCGCCGAAGCUAGUAUAGCAAAUGAUGAGAUUGAGGCAAUUAUAUUUUUAGCAACAGACAAUGAGUAGAUUUUAGAUUCCGGUUGUUCGUAUCAUAUGUGUCCCUACAAGGACUUGUUUUCUACAUAUGAUUCAGUUGAAGGUGUAGUUGUCCAAUUGGAUAACAAUGCUACCUGUAACGUUAUUGACAAAGGUACAAUUUAGAUCAUAAUACAUGAUGGUGUGGUAAGAACUCUCACCGAUAUAAGAUAUGUUCCUGAGUUGAAGAAAAAUCUCAUCUCUUUGGGAACUUUAGAAUCUCUUGGGUGCAAAUUCACUAGUGAAGGUGGAGUUCUGAAAUUUUUUCAAGGUGCUCUUGUGAUCAUGAAAGCAUAUAGAUUUGAUUCAUUGUAUAUUUUAUUGGGAUCUACUGUUAUAGGCACUACUACAGUUUCGGUAUCAGACAACUUAUCUGAUUUUGAUGGCAUAAAAUUUUGACAUAAGCCCAUUGGAGCUUUUUGGAGGUGGAGUAAAAUAACUUUAUCAUCCAAUUUAGGCCAAGGUGGAGAUUUGUAAGACGUGGCCUAAAUUUGUUCAUGGCUAAUCUUGGAGCCAAAGAAUAAAAAUAUUUUCUUUUAUUCUUUUUUCUUUACUUGGGCCCACCAAGAACUUUGCCCUAUAAAUGUGGGUCAUCUUACUUCAUUUGAAUCAUCCCAUAUUUAACUAGAAACUCAUUUUGAGUAUUCUUGUGAUUGAGAGUUUUGUUAUAUUCCAUAGAGUUAAUGUUGGGAACACUUUAAGUGAACCUUUUCUUUGUGAGUGAUUGUAGCGAGGUUAUUCUCUUGGGAUAUAUUUUGGGAUAAUUAGAGUUUUAUCUCUAAUUUUGUACUCUCUUUUGUGUAUCGGUUGUUAUAGUGAAAUUGCUCCUCUCCGCUUGUGGACGUAGGUCACCUUGACGGAACCACGUUAAAUUUGUGCCUUCUUUAUAUGCUUUAAUUGUCAUUAUUAUCAACUUGCAUUGUCUUUGUUAUUAUCAUUAUCACAUUGUUUGGCUAAAUUAUGCACUAUCCGGAUUCUUGAUCCUAACAAUUACUAUGGAUAAUUAACUGAGAUUUUUGAAUUACGAUUUCUAGGGAGAAGAUGAAUGAUUUUGUUUCAGUGUGUGUAGUUUGACUUGUUUGACCGAAAAAGGGGUGUUAAAAUAGAUGAAUAUACUUUGUAACUGUUAGUCGCUUUCUUGAGAUAUUUUGAAGGAAGAAGUAGUUCUAUCCAGAAAAUUAAGAUGAACUGCCUUUUUUACUUUUCGUUUUUUGUGUAAAGAAGAACUCUUACAAGGUGCAGUUUCCUUAUCAGACAUUAUUGUAUCCUUGUAAGAAGAACAAGGAUGUAAACUUCCGCUUGUUUUGAACUUGUAAAUAUGGCUUCCAGCAUAUUCUUUUUGCUGAAGAUUUGUAAUACUGUUAACUUUCUAAAAAAAAGCCUUUUGUAUUAUAUAAGUAUUUUAUAUUAACGAUCCUUCCAAUAGUCUGGCAUGUUGUAUGAAAGGUUCAACCUCAUGAUCUGUUGACAUUGUGCAGAACAAGGAUGAUGAUUUAGAGGAGUCUGAUAAUUCUUCGCAAAUGAAAAGAAAAAGAACUCAUGAAGGUAGUGAAGCAGCUCAGUUGAAAAGAAGAUGAAAAGGUCAAGAAUGGAGCUAAAAAGUAGUACAAAUCUUUCCAUUUUCGAAGUCGAUAUAUUUGCCAGGUUACCCACCUAAACUGGAAGUCUGUGAAAAGUGACCCAUUGCGUGUGCAAUGGACUGAGUGCGGGCAGCAAUCAGAGUGCAAGAACAAAUAAAAUACUAUCCCUGAAGCAAGACCAAGUGUGGACUGCAAUGGAAUUGUUCGGCCGCAGUGGUAGCCGCAAUAUACUCCACACUCCUGCAGCUUGGAAGGAUCAGAGAAUUGUCAAUUAUUGAAGUGUUGGAAGCCAGGGAAGUGUGGCCGCAACACCUGAAGUGCGGACCGCAAUCUCUGAAGAGCAGCCUCAAUGCACACUUGCAAUUGAAAACCGCUUAAGACAGCCAGAUGCAGUGCAGACUGCAAUGCUCAAGUGCGGCCACACUGCAUCGGCAUUUCCGGCACUGAUUUCCAGGACACUAUAAAUAGUAUUUUUAGGUCUUUUUAGGGUAUCUUUUGCCUUGGGACUUGGAAUGAAGCAGCCUUUGUGUAUUUGGGGUUAUUUUCUAGGAAGAUCAUCAUUAACAAUAUAUUUUGCAAUUAGUAGUUUAAUUAUAUUUAGUUCUUCUAUAUUUUGUGUUUUUAUCUCUUUAGUUAUAAGUAGCUAGACUUAUACCUAGGGUUGUAUUUCAACCCUAGUAUGUAAAACAUUAUCGGUUUUUAAUAUUGAGCUUGUUUAUGAGUGGAUUACUUA